rnacentral:rRNA from 1 species
UACGUAGGGACCAAGCGUUGUUUGGAUUUACUGGGCGUAAAGAGCUCGUAGGCGGUUUGUCGCGUCGGCCGUGAAAUCUCCACGCUUAACGUGGAGCGUGCGGUCGAUACGGGCAGACUUGAGUUCGGUAGGGAGACUGGAAUUCCGUGGUGUAGCGGUGAAAUGCGCAGAUAUCAGGAGGAACACCGGUGGCGAAGGCGGAUCUCUGGGCCGUAACUGACGCUGAGGAGCGAAAGCAUGGGGAGCGAACAGGA